rnacentral:rRNA from 1 species
GGUGGAUCAGUGGCGAACGGGUGAGUAACACGUGAGCAACCUGCCCUGGACUCUGGGAUAAGCGCUGGAAACGGCGUCUAAUACUGGAUAUGAGACGUGAUCGCAUGGUCGUGUUUGGAAAGAUUUUUCAGUCUGGGAUGGGCUCGCGGCCUAUCAGCUUGUUGGUGAGGUAACGGCUCACCAAGGCGUCGACGGGUAGCCGGCCUGAGAGGGUGACCGGCCACACUGGGACUGAGACACGGCCCAGACUCCUACGGGAGGCAGCAGUGGGGAAUAUUGCACAAUGGGCGAAAGCCUGAUGCAGCAACGCCGCGUGAGGGAUGACGGCCUUCGGGUUGUAAACCUCUUUUAGCAGGGAAGAAGCGAAAGUGACGGUACCUGCAGAAAAAGCGCCGGCUAACUACGUGCCAGCAGCCGCGGUAAUACGUACGGCGCAAGCGUUAUCCGGAAUUAUUGGGCGUAAAGAGCUCGUAGGCGGUUUGUCGCGUCUGCUGUGAAAUCCACGAGGCUCAACCUCGGGCCUGCAGUGGGUACGGGCAGACUAAGAGUGCGGUAGGGGAGAUUGGAAUUCCUGGUGUAGCGGUGGAAUGAGCAGAUAUCAGGAGGAACACCGAUGGCGAAGGCAGAUCUUUGGGCCGUAACUGACGCUGAGGAGCGAAAGGGUGGGGAGCAAACAGGCUUAGAUACCCUGGUAGUCCACCCCGUAAACGUUGGGAACUAGUUGUGGGGACCAUUCCACGGUUUCCGUGACGCAGCUAACGCAUUAAGUUCCCCGCCUGGGGAGUACGGCCGCAAGGCUAAAACUCAAAGGAAUUGACGGGGACCCGCACAAGCGGCGGAGCAUGCGGAUUAAUUCGAUGCAACGCGAAGAACCUUACCAAGGCUUGACAUAUACGAGAACGGGCCAGAAAUGGUCAACUCUUUGGACACUCGUAAACAGGUGGUGCAUGGUUGUCGUCAGCUCGUGUCGUGAGAUGUUGGGUUAAGUCCCGCAACGAGCGCAACCCUCGUUCUAUGUUGCCAGCACGUAAUGGUGGGAACUCAUGGGAUACUGCCGGGGUCAACUCGGAGGAAGGUGGGGAUGACGUCAAAUCAUCAUGCCCCUUAUGUCUUGGGCUUCACGCAUGCUACAAUGGCCGGUACAAAGGGCUGCAAUACCGUGAGGUGGAGCGAAUCCCAAAAAGCCGGUCCCAGUUCGGAUUGAGGUCUGCAACUCGACCUCAUGAAGUCGGAGUCGCUAGUAAUCGCAGAUCAGCAACGCUGCGGUGAAUACGUUCCCGGGUCUUGUACAC